rfam:Tupaia chinensis contig169110, whole genome shotgun sequence.
AAGCCAGCCGAUGAAUCUGCUUUGCUGUAUGUAUUUCUGCAGGAAUUUAGAAAAAGCUGGCAAUAGUAAAGCCAUGUUAUGAGCCUUAAGUCAUUAAGUUCCAAAAAUGGCUACAACG